rnacentral:tRNA from 1 species
GGGGAUUUAGCUCAGUGGUAGAGCGCUUGCCUAGCAAGUGCAAGGCCCUGGGUUCGGUGCUCAGCUGGGGGAGGGGAGGACUUAAAGUUCAAAUCCUCA